GAUGUUAGCUAUAACUGGACUUGCAGG
rnacentral:piRNA from 1 species